rnacentral:lncRNA from 1 species
CCAUCUCUAUGCCAGGCUAAUUUUUUGUUUAAGAGUUGUCCUUUUAAGGUAAUUUCCUAGAUCCUAUAGGUUUGCUGCUGCUUUUUUUUUUUUUUUUUUUUUUUUUUUUUUUUUUUUGAGAUGUAGUCUUGUUCUGUUACCCAGGGUGAAGUGCAGUGGUGUAAUCUCAGCUUACUGCAACCUCUGCCUUCUGGGUUAAAAUUUUAUUAUUCACCUGCCUCAGCCUCCCGAGUAGCUGGGAUUAUCAGUGCAUGCCACCAUGCCUGGUUAAUUUUUGAUAUUUUUAGUAGAAAUGGGGUCUCACUGUGUUAGCCAGGAUGGUCUCCAUCUUCUGACCUUGUGAUCUGCCCACCUCAGUGAGAUUACAGGCAUGGUGGCCCAUUUUUUAUUUUUAUUCUUUUUUUAGUGUGUGUGUCCUCUGACUUUGUAUUUCAAAAGGCCUGUCUUGAAGCUCACUAUUUGUUUUAUUUUGCUUAAUCCAUUCUGCUAAUAAAAAACUUUGAUGCAGUUUCUAAUAUGCCAAUUGUAUUUUUAAACUCCAGGAUUUCUACUUCUUUUUAAUUAUGUCAAUCUCUUUGUUAAAUGUAUUUGAUAUAAUUCUGAAUUUCUCCUCUCUGUUAUUUUGAAUUUUUUUAGUUUAAUCAACACAGCUAUUUUGAAUUCUGUGUCUGAAAGCCCGCAUAUCUCUGUUUCUCCAGGAUUCAUUCUCCAGAAGCUUAAUUUAGUUGAUUUGAUGAGGCCAUCAUUUCCUGGAUGAUGCUGUUGCUAGUGGAUGUUCUUCAGUGUGUGGGCAUUGAAGAGUCAGGUUGGAAGUUUUCAUAAAUUCUUUCUUGGAAGAGAUAGGAGAAUUAGGAUGAUCUCCUCUAGGGAAAUAAAUGGGAUAUGACUCUACACCUCUCUGAAAAGUCAUGAACUUGUUCUACUUUCAGUAUACUGGUAUGUAGAAUUAGUCAAAAUGUCACAUAUACGAUGCCUGAGUUAAGUAUGCAUUAAUUAAGUACUAUUUGUUUUUGAAAAUCAGCAUCAGGCGAUUGAAAGAAUGCUUGUUCUGGAGCCAGAGCAGGUUUAAGUUCUGCCUCUGCCACUACUGCAUAAGACUAUGGAAAACUAGUUUGUUUGGUUUCUUUUUUCGGGGUCUCAGUGUUAGCUU